GAGUUUGAUCCUGGCUCAGAACGAACGUUGGCGGCGUGGAUUAGGCAUGCAAGUUGAGCGUACUCCGCAAGGAGAAGCAGCGUAGGGGGCAGUAAGGCAUGGGUACCUACCUCGGGUUCGGGUAUAGCCUGUAGAGAUACAGGGUAAUCCCCGAUGAUGUCGUAAGACCAAAGCUCCGGCGACCGGAGAGGGGCCCAUGUGAUAUUAGCUAGUUGGUGGGGUAACGGCCCACCAAGGCGAAGAUGUCUAGCGGGUGUGAGAGCACGACCCGCGCCACUGGCACUGAGACACUGGCCAGACACCUACGGGUGGCUGCAGUCCAGGAUCUUCGGCAAUGGGCGCAAGCCUGAUCGAGCGACGCCGCGUGUGCCACGAAGGCCUUCGGGUUGUAAAGCACUGUCGAGGGGGAGAAAACCGCAUGGUUGAUCUAUCCCUGGAGGAAGCACGGGCUAAGUUCGUGCCAGCAGCCGCGGUAAGACGAACCGUGCGAACGUUGUUCGGAAUCGCUGGGCUUAAAGGGCGCGUAGGCGGGCUGUCAAGUCCGGGGUGAAAUCUUCCCGCUCAACGGGUGAACCGCCUCAGAUACUGACGAUCUCGAGGGGGAUAGGGGCACGCGGAACUGUGGGUGGAGCGGUGAAAUGCGUUGAUAUCCAUAUGAACUCCGGUGGCUAAGCGGCGUGCUGGAUCCCUUCUGACGCUGAGGCGCUAAAGCCAGGCGCAGCAAACGCGAAUUAGAUACCCCGGUAGUCCUGGUCCCUAAACCGUUGAGAACUAGGUUGUAACUAGAGAUGGGUUUACAGCCAAAUCAUAAGUGCUCAGUUUCCCCCCGGGGAGUAUGGUC
rnacentral:rRNA from 1 species